rnacentral:rRNA from 1 species
AGUGAACGCUGGCGGUAGGCCUAACACAUGCAAGUCGAACGGCAGCACAGUAAGAGCUUGCUCUUACGGGUGGCGAGUGGCGGACGGGUGAGGAAUACAUCGGAAUCUACUUUUUCGUGGGGGAUAACGUAGGGGAACUUACGCUAAUACCGCAUACGACCUACGGGUGAAAGCAGGGGAUCUUCGGACCUUGCGCGAUUGAAUGAGCCGAUGUCGGAUUAGCUAGUUGGCGGGGUAAAGGCCCACCAAGGCGACGAUCCGUAGCUGGUCUGAGAGGAUGAUCAGCCACACUGGAACUGAGACGCGGUCCAGACUCCUACGGGAGGCAGCAGUGGGGAAUAUUGGACAAUGGGCGCAAGCCUGAUCCAGCCAUACCGCGUGGGUGAAGAAGGCCUUCGGGUUGUAAAGCCCUUUUGUUGGGAAAGAAAAGCAGCAGGUUAAUACCCCGCUGUUCUGACGGUACCCAAAGAAUAAGCACCGGCUAACUUCGUG